rnacentral:tRNA from 1 species
GCGGGCAUGAUGUAGUGGUAGCCUCCCAGCCUCCCAUGCUGGUCGUGCGGGUUCGAUUCCCGCUGCCCGCU